UGAUUGGCGAGUGCGUAUACAUGCAGUCGAGCGAACGGACGAGAAGCUUGCUUCUCUGAUGUUAGCGGCGGACGGGUGAGUAACACGUGGAUAACCUACCUAUAAGACUGGGAUAACUUCGGGAAACCGGAGCUAAUACCGGAUAAUAUUUUGAACCGCAUGGUUCAAAAGUGAAAGACGGUCUUGCUGUCACUUAUAGAUGGAUCCGCGCUGCAUUAGCUAGUUGGUAAGGUAACGGCUUACCAAGGCAACGAUGCAUAGCCGACCUGAGAGGGUGAUCGGCCACACUGGAACUGAGACACGGUCCAGACUCCUACGGGAGGCAGCAGUAGGGAAUCUUCCGCAAUGGGCGAAAGCCUGACGGAGCAACGCCGCGUGAGUGAUGAAGGUCUUCGGAUCGUAAAACUCUGUUAUUAGGGAAGAACAUAUGUGUAAGUAACUGUGCACAUCUUGACGGUACCUAAUCAGAAAGCCACGGCUAACUACGUGCCAGCAGCCGCGGUAAUACGUAGGUGGCAAGCGUUAUCCGGAAUUAUUGGGCGUAAAGCGCGCGUAGGCGGUUUUUUAAGUCUGAUGUGAAAGCCCACGGCUCAACCGUGGAGGGUCAUUGGAAACUGGAAAACUUGAGUGCAGAAGAGGAAAGUGGAAUUCCAUGUGUAGCGGUGAAAUGCGCAGAGAUAUGGAGGAACACCAGUGGCGAAGGCGACUUUCUGGUCUGUAACUGACGCUGAUGUGCGAAAGCGUGGGGAUCAAACAGGAUUAGAUACCCUGGUAGUCCACGCCGUAAACGAUGAGUGCUAAGUGUUAGGGGGUUUCCGCCCCUUAGUGCUGCAGCUAACGCAUUAAGCACUUCCGCCUGGGGGAGUACGACCGCAAGGUUGAACUCAAAGGAAUUGGACGGGGACCCGCACAAGCGGUGGAGCUGUUGUUUAAUUCGAGCAACGCGAAAAACCUUACCAAUCUUGACAUCCUUGACAACUCUAGAAUAGAGCUUUCCCCCUUCGGAGGACAAGUGACAGUGGUGCAUGCUUUCCGCCAGCUCGGUCGGAGAAUGUGGCUUAGUCCCGCACCGGGCCAACCUAAGCUAGUGCAUCUAUAAUGGCACCUAGUGACUGCGGAACAAGCUGGAAAGGUAGAUACCAAAUCAGGUAUUGGCCCUUUAAGAU
rnacentral:rRNA from 1 species